rnacentral:lncRNA from 1 species
UUAGGGUAUUAUGUUAUCAGACUUUGGAUCUUAUUUAAAUCUUCUGUUCUAUCUAGCCUCUUCUUAUAUUCCUGUGGUGGAGCAUGGGAAGGGGAGGUGUUCCCUUGUUACUGUUAGAUGGAACUAGAAGUUCAGGUUUGCCAUUUGACCUAUGUUGCGAUAUGACAUUAUUUCUUUCAUGUGUGCAAUGUAUAUUUCUUUAACAUUACUUAAAUUCCCAUUAAAACUAGUAAAUGGAUCUUUGGAACUCUGUGGAUUCAUUCUUAAACACUCAGAAUUUUUUCCACUAGACAGAAAAUAGCUACAACUUGUGAAACCAAGACCAUUUCUUAAUUCAUAGUUCCAUGGGCAAUGAUGUCUCUGACAUGCACAAAAUUAUUUGAUUUCAGAACUUGGUACUACAUAGUAAUGCUUUCUAUAGGGUCAAGGCAGACCAUUUUACUUACUGAAUAUUAGUAAAACUCAAAAGUAGUGUAAAAAUAAUGGCUGCAUAGUUUAUAUAUUGAUAUUUAACCAUUUUAGGGAGUAAAUGUAUAGAAAUCAGUGAUGGUGGUUAACGAUUUCUGAGUGAAACAAAAGUAUUAAAAGUACAAAGAAAUGAAAGACAUUGAUGUUGAUAAGCAGAGAAUCAGUACCGAGAUUUAAAAGUUGAUUUUUUUUUUAUAUUCUAUUAGUCAAGGUCCUGGCAGGAAAUAGGCAGACACAAAAGCAUUUAACAAAAAAAAAUUGUUGAAAUAAUAUGGACAGACAUGUAGGCAGGGUGAUGAGGCUGAAGGAACCAGGUAAUAUCAAAACUGGGAAGUUGUUUCCACCUCUAGCUCUGAUGGGUCAAAGUGAGAGAACAAAGUUGUUGGAAUAAUACAAGACACACAUAGUCAUGACCAAGACUUUAGUGAGGUGAAUACAAAGUUGCAAAUAAAUGCCCUGUUUUCUCCCUGUCCUCUGAUGUGCUGGUGUCACACAGUUUGCUGACAGGGUGCAAGAGGCUGAGGUGACAGAGAUGAAGAGCUGACCUCCCCAGGGCAAAGAGCAGGGCAGAGAAUGUCAUAAAAUGGAUGUGGUAGUGGGGAGGCCAAAAUUUCUACACUAAGGAUAUAAGGCUAUAAUUCCUGAUCCCUGUCCUCAACAGGAUUAGGCUUGAAGUGUAUUAAAAGAAAAUACAUUUUAAUCUACUUGUUAAUUAAUGAACCCAAAUAAGCUAGACGCUGCUGUCUGGGAAAGGUACCUAAUGGAGGAACAGGAUUUUAAAGAUACUACCACUUGCACUCCAUAGUAUAAAAGAUUGCCAUGUCAGUUAAAUAAGGCAAUAAAUUGAAAAAGCUGCUCUUUAAUGCAUACGUUAGAAAAGAAGAAAUCAGUAAUCCAAGCUCUCACCUUGAGAAUCGAGAAAAUGAAGAAGAAAAUAAAACCGAAAACAAGCACAAUGAAGGAAAUAAUAAACAGCAGAAAUCAGUAAAAUUGAAGGCAGAAAAACAAUAGACAAAAUCAAUGAAACAACUCAUUUUUCAAAAAGAUCAAUAGGAUUGACAAAGUGCUAACAAGAGUGAUAAAGGAAAAAAAACUGAAGACAUACAAAUUACAAACAUUAAGAAUGAAACGGAGUAUCACUAUAGGCUCGGCAGACAUAAAAAAGAUAAUAAGGGAACACUGUGGACAAUUAUUCACAUACAUGCUUGACAAUUUAGAUAAAAUGGGCCAAUUCUUCAUAAAGCACAACUACUCCAAAUCACUCCAUAUGAAAUAGAGGAUUUGAACAGCCAUAGAACUAAUCAGGAAAUGGAACUCAUUAUUUAAAAACUUCUGAAAAGUAAAUCUCCAUGCCUGGAUGGUUUCAAUGGGAAAUUACACCAAACUUUUAAAGAAGGAUCAACACCAAUUCAACACCAAUUCUACACUGACUAUUUCAGAAAAGAGAAGAGAUAGCAACAAUUCUGAACACAAUUUAAUGAGUCCAGCAAGAACCUGAUACCAAAAUUUAAAAAAAAUCAAAAACACCAAAACAAAACAAAAAACUAGAGACCAAUAUUCCUUAUCAAUAUCAAAGCAAAAUUUCUUAACAAAAUAUCAGUAUGUAAAAUUUAGCAACAUAUAAAAAAAUCUUGUAGAGUUUGUUCCAGGGAUAUAAAACUGGUUUGAUAUUUGAAAAUCAUUACUGUAAUCCACCAUAUUUACUGUUACAGAAGAAAAAUAAUUUGAUCUUACCCAUGGAUGCAUGACAUCAUUUGACUAAUUUCAACACCUAUGUCUGAAAUAAACUCUAAAAAAUAGGAACAGAAGGGAACUUCCUCAGCUUAAUAAACAGCACUCACAUAAAUCCUACAACUAAGUUCAUACUUUGCAGUGACAGAUUAAAUGCUUUUUCCCUAGUACUGUGAACACAGCAAGAAUGUAUAUCCUUUACUGUUACUCAACAGAGGGCUGAAAGUUUUAACUAGUGCAAAGAGGCAACACGAGAAAGUAAAUCCAUACAGAUGGGAAAGGAAUACAUAAAACUUGCUUACAUGCAGAUGGGAUGAACAUGAAAAUUCCAAGCAAUGUACAAGAAAAAGAUAUUUCCCAGAAUUAAUAAGUGAGCUCAUUGAGGUAGCAGAAUAAAUUAUAAAAGUACAAAAAUCAAUUGUAAUUCUACAUACUGGUAAUGAACAAGUGGACACUGAAAUUAAAUAUAGUGGUCUUUGCUCUCUCACAAAAAAAUGAAGUAGGUGUUAAUUGGACACAAUAUGUACUGUACAUAUGGUGAAAACAACAAAAUGCUAUAGAAAUAAACCAACGAACAUCUAACUAACAGGCAAAUGCUAUGUUCAUUGGGAGACUCAACAUAGUUUUACUCAAAUUGAUGAUACAGCUUUAGCACAAUUCCUAUCAAAAUCCUAGCAAGAUUUUUUUUGUUGUUGUUGGGAGAGACAGGAUCACUCUAAAAUUUACAUGGAAAGGCAAUGAAACUAGAAUAAUUAAAACAAAAUUGAAAAGGAAGACUAAAGAAGGAAGAAAAUUAAUCAGAUUUUUAAACUUAUAUAGAUACGGUAAUCAAGGUAGUGUGGUACUGGUGGCUGGACAGACUCAAAGACCAGUGGAAGAUUAGAGAACCACACAAAUAUGGUCAAUUGACUUAGACAAAGAUCCAAAAACAAUUUCACAGAGCAAAGGGCUUUUUCAAGAAAUGAUGCUAGAACACUUAAGUGUGCCACCUUAUACAAAAUUAACUCAUAAUAGAUGAGUUUAAAUGUAAAACACAAAACUAAAUAUUUUAAAAAUAUAUACAUAAGAAAAUAAUCAGGAUCUAGGGCUAGGUAGAGUUCUUAGAUUUUAUGCUAACAGCAUAGUUCAUAUAUUUAUUUUUUAUUUUAUUUUAUUUAUUUAUGAUAGGCACACAGUGAGAG